CUCAGAACGAACGCUGGCGGCGCGUUUUAAGCAUGCAAGUCGAACGGUAGUAUGGCUUCGGCCAUAUGAGAGUGGCGAACGGGUGAGUAACACGUAGGUGAUCUACCGCUUGGCGGGGGAUAGCCCAUGGAAACAUGGGGUAAUACCGCAUACGACCGAUCUGCUGUGGCGGGUUGGGGAAAGGCGCUUAGGCGUCACCGAGCGAUGAGCCUGCGGCUGAUUAGCUGGUUGGUAGGGUAACGGCCUACCAAGGCAACGAUCAGUAGCCGGCCUGAGAGGGUGAACGGCCACACUGGGACUGAGAUACGGCCCAGACUCCUACGGGAGGCAGCAGCUAAGAAUCUUCCGCAAUGGACGAAAGUCUGACGGAGCGACGCCGCGUGGGUGAUGAAGGCCGGAAGGUUGUAAAGCCCUUUUCUAUCGGAGGAAUAAGCCUGGGAGGGAAUGCCCGGGUGAUGACGGUACUUUACGAAUAAGCACCGGCUAACUCCGUGCCAGCAGCCGCGGUUAUACGGAGGGUGCAAGCGUUAUCCGGAUUUAUUGGGUUUAAAGGGUGCGUAGGCGGGCCUUUAAGUCAGUGGUGAAAUCCUGCAGCUUAACUGUAGAACUGCCAUUGAUACUGAAGGCCUUGAGUAUAGUUGAGGUAGGCGGAAUGUGUAAUGUAGCGGUGAAAUGCUUAGAUAUUACACAGAACACCGAUUGCGUAGGCAGCUUACUAAGCUAUAACUGACGCUGAUGCACGAAAGCGUGGGGAGCGAACAGGAUUAGAUACCCUGGUAGUCCACGCCGUAAACGAUGAUCACUCGUUGUUGGCGAUACACAGUCAGCGACUGAGCGAAAGCAUUAAGUGAUCCACCUGGGGAGUACGGUCGCAAGAUUGAAACUCAAAGGAAUUGACGGGGGCCCGCACAAGCGGAGGAACAUGUGGUUUAAUUCGAUGAUACGCGAGGAACCUUACCUGGGCUUAAAUGUAGAGUGCAUAAACGGGAAACUGUUUUUUCCUUCGGGACUCUUUACAAGGUGCUGCAUGGUUGUCGUCAGCUCGUGCCGUGAGGUGUCGGGUUAAGUCCCAUAACGAGCGCAACCCCUAUCGUUAGUUGCCAGCGAGUCAAGUCGGGGACUCUAACGAGACUGCCGGUGUAAACCGCGAGGAAGGUGGGGAUGACGUCAAAUCAGCACGGCCCUUACGUCCAGGGCUACACACGUGUUACAAUGGCCGAUACAAAGGGCAGCUACCAGGUGACUGGAUGCUAAUCUCGAAAGUCGGUCUUAGUUCGGAUCGAAGUCUGCAACUCGACUUCGUGAAGCUGGAUUCGCUAGUAAUCGUAGAUCAGCAAUGCUACGGUGAAUCGUUCCCGGGCCUUGUACACACCGCCCGUCAAGCCAUGGAAGCUGGGGGUACAUGAAG
rnacentral:rRNA from 1 species